UAGCCUGAAAUGAUGUUACAAAUUCAUGUCUCUUCUCUGAGAUGUAUUCUGGAGACAGCCCAGUGCAUUGCUGAUCAGGCUU
rfam:Colius striatus contig84000, whole genome shotgun sequence.